GGGGAUUUAGCUCAGUGGUAGAGCGUUUGCCUAGCAAGCACAAGGCCCUGGGUUCGGUCCCCAGCUCCA
rfam:Rattus norvegicus chromosome 13, whole genome shotgun sequence.